GAUGAACGCUGGCGGCGUGCCUAAUACAUGCAAGUCGAGCGAACGGACGAGAAGCUUGCUUCUCUGAUGUUAGCGGCGGACGGGUGAGUAACACGUGGAUAACCUACCUAUAAGACUGGGAUAACUUCGGGAAACCGUAGCUAAUACCGGAUAAUAUUUUGAACCGCAUGGUUCAAAAGUGAAAGACGGUCUUGCUGUCACUUAUAGAUGGAUCCGCGCUGCAGUAGCUAGUUGGUAAGGUAACGGCUUACCAAGGCAACGAUGCAUAGCCGACCUGAGAGAGUGAUCGGCCACACUGGAAGUGAAACACGGUCCAGACUACUACGGGAAGCAGCAGUAGGGAAUCAUCCGCAAUGGGCGAAAGCCUGACGGAGCAACGCCGCGUGAGUGAUGAGGGUCUUCGGAUCGUAAAACUCUGUUAUUAGGGAAGAACAGAUGUGUAAGUAACUGUGCACAUCUUGACGGUACCUAAUCAGAAAGCCACGGCUAACUACGUG
rnacentral:rRNA from 1 species